AUUGAACGCUGGCGGCAUGCCCUACACAUGCAAGUCGAACGGCAGCACGGGAGCAAUCCUGGUGGCGAGUGGCGAACGGGUGAGUAAUAUAUCGGAACGUGCCCAGUCGUGGGGGAUAACGCAGCGAAAGCUGUGCUAAUACCGCAUACGAUCUACGGAUGACAGCGGGGGAUCGCAAGACCUCGCGCGAUUGGAGCGGCCGAUAUCAGAUUAGCUAGUUGGUGGGGUAGAGGCCCACCAAGGCGACGAUCUGUAGCUGGUCUGAGAGGACGACCAGCCACACUGGAACUGAGACACGGUCCAGACUCCUACGGGAGGCAGCAGUGGGGAAUUUUGGACAAUGGGCGCAAGCCUGAUCCAGCAAUGCCGCGUGCAGGAUGAAGGCCUUCGGGUUGUAAACUGCUUUUGUACGGAACGAAACGGCCCUUUCUAAUACAGGGGGCUAAUGACGGUACCGUAAGAAUAAGCACCGGCUAACUACGUGCCAGCCGCCGCAGUAA
rnacentral:rRNA from 1 species